GAUGAACGCUGGCGGCGUGCCUAAUACAUGCAAGUCGAGCGAACGGACGAGAAGCUUGCUUCUCUGAUGUUAGCGGCGGACGGGUGAGUAACACGUGGAUAACCUACCUAUAGGACUGGGAUAACUUCGGGAAACCGGAGCUAAUACCGGAUAAUAUUUUGAACCGCAUGGUUCAAAAGUGAAAGACGGUCUUGCUGUCACUCAUAGAUGGAUCCGCGCUGCAUUAGCUAGUUGGUAAGGUAACGGCUUACCAAGGCAACGAUGCAUAGCCGACCUGAGAGGGUGAUCGGCCACACUGGAACUGAGACACGGUCCAGACUCCUACGGGAGGCAGCAGUAGGGAAUCUUCCGCAAUGGGCGAAAGCCUGACGGAGCAACGCCGCGUGAGUGAUGAAGGUCUUCGGAUCGUAAAACUCUGUUAUUAGGGAAGAACAUAUGUGUAAGUAACUGUGCACAUCUUGACGGUACCUAAUCAGAAAGCCACGGCUAACUACGUGCCAGCAGCCGCGGUAAUACGUAGGUGGCAAGCGUUAUCCGGAAUUAUUGGGCGUAAAGCGCGCGUAGGCGGUUUUUUAAGUCUGAUGUGAAAGCCCACGGCUCAACCGUGGAGGGUCAUUGGAAACUGGAAAACUUGAGUGCAGAAGAGGAAAGUGGAAUUCCAUGUGUAGCGGUGAAAUGCGCAGAGAUAUGGAGGAACACCAGUGGCGAAGGCGACUUUCUGGUCUGUAACUGACGCUGAUGUGCGAAAGCGUGGGGAUCAAACAGGAUUAGAUACCCUGGUAGUCCACGCCGUAAACGAUGAGUGCUAAGUGUUAGGGGGUUUCCGCCCCUUAGUGCUGCAGCUAACGCAUUAAGCACUCCGCCUGGGGAGUACGACCGCAAGGUUGAAACUCAAAGGAAUUGACGGGGACCCGCACAAGCGGUGGAGCAUGUGGUUUAAUUCGAAGCAACGCGAAGAACCUUACCAAAUCUUGACAUCCUUUGACAACUCUAGAGAUAGAGCCUUCCCCUUCGGGGGACAAAGUGACAGGUGGUGCAUGGUUGUCGUCAGCUCGUGUCGUGAGAUGUUGGGUUAAGUCCCGCAACGAGCGCAACCCUUAAGCUUAGUUGCCAUCAUUAAGUUGGGCACUCUAAGUUGACUGCCGGUGACAAACCGGAGGAAGGUGGGGAUGACGUCAAAUCAUCAUGCCCCUUAUGAUUUGGGCUACACACGUGCUACAAUGGACAAUACAAAGGGCAGCGAAACCGCGAGGUCAAGCAAAUCCCAUAAAGUUGUUCUCAGUUCGGAUUGUAGUCUGCAACUCGACUACAUGAAGCUGGAAUCGCUAGUAAUCGUAGAUCAGCAUGCUACGGUGAAUACGUUCCCGGGUCU
rnacentral:rRNA from 1 species